UCAAACUUGGUCAUUUAGAGGAAGUAAAAGUCGUAACAAGGUUUCCGUAGGUGAACCUGCGGAAGGAUCAUUAAAGAGAAAACUGCCCUUUGGGGUAGAUCUCCCACCCUUUGUUUAAAUUACCUAUGUUGCUUUGGCAGGCCCGUCUUCUGACCACCGGCUUUAGCUGGUCCGUGCCUGCCAGAGGACCCCCAAACUCAUUGAUUUUUAAGUUGUCCGAGUCUUAUAUAAUAGUAAAAACUUUCAACAACGGAUCUCUAGGUUCUGGCAUCGAUGAAGAACGCAGC
rnacentral:misc_RNA from 1 species